rnacentral:rRNA from 1 species
UACGUAGGGUGCGAGCGUUAAUCGGAAUUACUGGGCGUAAAGCGUGCGCAGGCGGUUCGGGAAGUCUGGUGUGGAAGCCCCGGGCUUAACCUGGGAAUUGCAUUGGAAACUAGCGGGCUGGAGUGUGGCAGAGGGGGGUGGAAUUCCACGUGUAGCAGUGAAAUGCGUAGAGAUGUGGAGGAACACCGAUGGCGAAGGCAGCCCCCUGGGCUGAGAUUGACGCUCAGGCACGAAAGCGUGGGGAGCAAACAGG